UGGGGAAUAUUGGACAAUGGGCGAAAGCCUGAUCCAGCAAUACCGCGUGUGUGAAGAAGGCCUGAGGGUUGUAAAGCACUUUUAAUUGGGAGGAACAUCUGAUGGUUAAUACCCAUCAGUCUGACAUUACCGAUAGAAAAAGCACCGGCUAACUCCGUGCCAGCAGCCGCGGUAAUACGGAGGGUGCGAGCGUUAAUCGGAAUUACUGGGCGUAAAGCGUGCGUAGGCGGCUUGUUAAGUCAGAUGUGAAAGCCCUGGGCUUAACCUGGGAACUGCAUUUGAUACUGGGAGGCUAGAGUUUAAUAGAGGGGAGUGGAAUUUCCGGUGUAGCGGUGAAAUGCGUAGAGAUCGGAAGGAACACCAGUGGCGAAGGCGACUCCCUGGAUUAAAACUGACGCUG
rnacentral:rRNA from 1 species